GGUGAACUCCACAUACGCAUCCUUUGCUGAGGAUACGGUUAACGGAGCGAAAGCGACGUUCAACCGCAAAAGAAGCAGAGGGGGCUUAGUGGUGGGGUGACUGCGUACCUUUUGUAUAAUGGGUCAGCGACUUAUAUUCUGUAGCAAGGUUAACCGAAUAGGGGAGCCGGAGGGAAACCGAGUCUUAACCGGGCGUUAAGUUGCAGGGUAUAGACCCGAAACCCGGUGAUCUAGCCAUGGGCAGGUUGAAGGUUGGGUAACACUAACUGGAGGACCGAACCGACUAAUGUUGAAAAAUUAGCGGAUGACCUGUGGCUGGGGGUGAAAGGCCAAUCAAACCGGGAGAUAGCUGGUUCUCCCCGAAAGCUAUUUAGGUAGCGCCUCGUGAAUUCAUCUCCGGGGGUAGAGCACUGUUUCGGCUAGGGGGCCAUCCCGGCUUACCAACCCGAUGCAAACUGCGAAUACCGGAGAAUGUUAUCACGGGAGACACACGGCGGGUGCUAACGUCCGUCGUGAAGAGGGAAACAACCCAGACCGCCAGCUAAGGUCCCAAAGUCAUGGUUAAGUGGGAAACGAUGUGGGAAGGCCCAGACAGCCAGGAUGUUGGCUUAGAAGCAGCCAUCAUUUAAAGAAAGCGUAAUAGCUCACUGGUCGAGUCGGCCUGCGCGGAAGAUGUAACGGGGCUAAACCAU
rnacentral:rRNA from 1 species